rnacentral:rRNA from 1 species
GUCCACGCCUUAAACGAUGGAUGUUCGGUGUCGGUCCGCAAGGAUCGGUGCCUGAGCUAACGCGUUAAACAUCCCACCUGGGGAGUACGAUCGCAAGGUUGAAACUCAAAGGAAUUGACGGGGGCCCGCACAAGCAGUGGAGAAUGUGGUUCAAUUCGAUGCAACGCGAAGAACCUUACCUGGGUUUGAAAGGCAAGUGACCGGCGAUGAAAGUCGCUCUCGUAGCAAUACGCACUUGUACAGGUGCUGCAUGGCUGUCGU